CCCUUAGACGUUCUGGGCCGCACGCGCGCUACACUGACCAGUGCAACAAGCAUCCGUCCUUGGCCGACAGGCUCGGGCAAUCUUUGAACGCUGGUCGUGAUGGAGAUAGACUUUUGCAAUUUUUGGUCUUCAACGAGGAAUUCCUAGUAAACGCAAGUCAUCAACUUGCAUUGAUUACGUCCCUGCCCUUUGUACACACCGCCCGUCGCACCUACCGAUUGAAUGGUCCGGUGAAGCCUCCGGAUUGGCGCGCACCUCGGUGCCGCCGAGAAGUUGGCUAAACCUUACCAUUUAGAGGAAGGUGAAGUCGUAACA
rnacentral:rRNA from 1 species